CCCCUAGAUGUCCUGGGUCGCACGCGCAAUACAAUGUAAAGUUCAGAAAGCAUAUCCUGUUCCGGAAGGCAAUGGGUAAUCUUUUCAAUAUUUUACGUGUUAGGGAUCGAUCUUUGCAAUUAUAGAUCUUGAACGAGGAAUACCUAGUAAGUGCAGCUCAUCAGGCUGUACUGAUUACGUCCCUGCCCUUUGUACACACCGCCCGUCGCUCCUACCGAUUUCGAGUGGUCCGGUGAAUCUUUUGGAAUUAGAGUGCAAACUCAAACUAAGAUCGAUAAACCUUAUCACUUAGAGGAAGGAGAAGUCGUAACA
rnacentral:rRNA from 1 species